CCAGUCUUAAAAGAAAGCACAAACCAAAUCCCCUGUACACAUAUACGGACUCAGAGGAUGAGCAGCCUACAAAAAAACGGUUUCCCCAGGCCCCUCGAGUGAAAAUACCAGCCCUCAUCACUCCGCAGUCUGCCCCCCAGCCCACUGAUAGCAACCAUCAUAAUGCCCCACCCAGCUUCCGGCACCUUUCGCCACUCCGGCACAAACCGACACAGCUUUGCGAUCUCCCCAGCAUGCAGAGUCUGAUGUCUUCCCUAUAGAUGAUUCCAGAGACUCUGUGAGGCCACUAUUGCAAGGUGAGACGCUUUGCGUUGAUUGGUGCUGCUGGACCACACUGGAGGUGCGAGUCCGCCGUGUAAUGGUUUAUGCCAUUACAAAGGAGCUGGCCUCUGUACUCAACUGGGCAGGGGAAAAAAUACCAAGGACCAGACAAAGCAAAAAAGGGCAUUUAAAGAGACCGUGCCGUGCAGAUGCAUAUUUGAUGGCCUGGCGCAGCAGGUAGGGGCGAACUCUAUGUCUGAGUUGGUCUUUGCUCAAGCAGUCCAGAAAUGGCUCAGAUAUGCUCCAGAUCGUACGGGUGGCACGCAGGACGCACAUCAUCCAUCCCCAUCCCGGAGUAAAUAAUAAAAAGUGACGUGAAACAUAGAAAUGUAAAUAGGAAACUUUGUCUUUUAAUAAAGUAUUUUGCAAAUGAUACAUGUCUAUUGACCUUUUUUGUUUUUUUGUUUUUUUUCAAUAAAAAGCAACUGUGCGAAAGAGGUGGAAAAUCAACACCAUAGCUCAACAGUGUUUCAAUAUCAGAAUCUGACAUUGUUUCAAUGUCAACAGUGUUAGAAAAUAUAACAUCGAAUCAAUGUCAGGUUUCAACAUUGAUUCAACAUCAAAACCUGACGUUGUUUCAACAUUAAAAAUGGGUGCAAGAGUGACGUUGGGUCAACGUCAGAUCUCAACGUUGGUUCAAUGACAUCGCCUGAUAUUGACUCAACAUUGUUUCAAUGUUUCCUUGCUA